rnacentral:lncRNA from 1 species
UUCUAGAAUCAAUCGAUAGAAAUGGGUUCCUAGCCAUAUAACAUUAAUGAACGGAGGGUCAGUAACAUCUACACUCCAAACCUCAUUUCCUCUGAUACACUUCAUUUUUCUGUCAAACGGAUCGACUUUAAGUAAAAAUUAAAGCGACUGUUCUUUCGCUUUUUUAUUUUGAUGAUAAAAAGUAGAUUAUAUAGGCUAAUAGAAAGGAAAAUAAGUGUAAUUACCCAAACUUGAGGCGACGUAAAGCAAUUUUGAACUUACAGGUUUUCCGUGUGCGAACUACGAUCUUUCAAUGGAAAACAUCGUCAUCCAAAACAAAUUCCAUGUGUUAUAAAACCAUUAAAUAAAACUCACGUUUUCGUUUGAGAUGGAGGGAGAAGGAAGAAGAAAGACGUUGCUUGAGGAAAAGGCGUUGUAGGAUACACCGGUUAAUGAAUGGGCACGUUUUUUGAUGGAACCGAUAAUGGAAUUGGUGAAACGUCUGGUUCUAAC